AACGAACGCUGGCGGCAUGCCUAACACAUGCAAGUCGAACGAGACCUUCGGGUCUAGUGGCGCACGGGUGCGUAACGCGUGGGAACCUGCCCUUAGGUUCGGAAUAACUCCCCGAAAGGGGUGCUAAUACCGGAUAAUGUCUUCGGACCAAAGAUUUAUCGCCUUUGGAUGGGCCCGCGUUGGAUUAGCUAGUUGGUAGGAUAAAAGCCUACCAAGGCGACGAUCCAUAGCUGGUCUGAGAGGAUGAUCAGCCACACUGGGACUGAGACACGGCCCAGACUCCUACGGGAGGCAGCAGUGGGGAAUAUUGGACAAUGGGCGAAAGCCUGAUCCAGCAAUGCCGCGUGAGUGAUGAAGGCCUUAGGGUUGUAAAGCUCUUUUACCCGGGAUGAUGAUGACAGUACCGGGAGAAUAAGCUCCGGCUAACUCCGUG
rnacentral:rRNA from 1 species